rnacentral:tRNA from 1 species
GGGCCGGUAGCUUAGUUGGUAAAGCGCUGCAUUCGCAUUGCAGAGAUUAGGGGUUCGAGUCCCCUCCGGUCCA